GCCGUGAGUCGUGAUCAGCUCGUCCUUGAGAGGCAGAGAGGGAGAGAGAAAAAGGACUGUAUUAUUGCUUAGAAUCAGAGGAGGGGUUAUGGAUUGAUACAAAUAGUCACCCCCGCCAAGCCAACCCCAGCGCAGGCUGAAUUAAUGUGUUGCUAUUUUUGGGAGCCCCGUGUUUCCAGGGGAGACCUAAUGACGCAAUGACGUCAAUGCGGGUCAAUCGCAGACUGGAGGAAUUGAGUGGCUUCCAUUUGGGUCUUUUGCAGUAUUUCCUACAGAAAGGAUGGAAACGAGUACAAAAUGGAAGUAUAUUGCCUCCAAAAUGCAUCGAAAACAGAGGUGAAUCAAAAUGCUGAAGUGAAAAUGAUCAGACCGGCAUCACGUCGCCCCAACCCUUCGAGCAUCAGCGGUAGUAAGGGAGGUGUGUAUGUAUGGAUGCUUUUUCCCUCCUCAUCCACAGCGCAUUCGUGGCAUGAAGCUUGGCUUUGACUCGCUUUGCGGGACAACAUUUUCGCGAACAUUUGACGUGCUUGUGCGGUUUGAUGUGCGCAGCAUGGGCUGUUUGUUGCCGUGUGGCGGUCGCGUGCACAUGCCGUGUUUCGCCCCGUCUCCUGCUACGCGCUGCCCGUUACAUACGUGUGAUUGUGCCGUGUUUUAUUCGCAUUGUGUUUCCCUUUUUCCUCUCUCCCAGGGGCUUUACACAACCUGACCUAUUCCGAGCCCUCGCAUCCAGACGCACAGAGGUGCAGCGGGUGAUGGUGGUCGUGCGCUCAGCUCUGCAGCCUUGUUCCUUUCAGACCUUUUUGCGGUCUGGGCUUGCUGUUCAGUCUAUCCAGGAAGCCCUUACCCCAAAAAGCAUCUGCAAGGGACCCUCACGUCUCAGAAAUCACUCCCAGGGCCUGACAGCAGCAGAGUAACGUGACUCUGGGUGAAAGAUGUAACUUUGUAGUAGAAAACACAGGCGCUGUUAAUUAGGAAAAGGUUUUAUCUGCUCUGGUUCCACUAGUUUCCCUUCCGCUCACCUCUUGCUGGGCUGCUCCACCAAUAACAAAGAAGAAGCUGGGAAGUACAAAAACUUUCCAACAAAUAUCUUUUAUUUUAAACUUUCACUAGCGUCCAUCAUGUUCUUCAGCCCUGAGCUGCUGCACCGCAUCUUCGGCGCCGUGUGAUUUCCCCACAAGAUGGCAGCAUUGCUUAAAUUUAUUUUAUUUAUUAUUAUUUUGACUGAGGAAAUUGUGUGUAAUAUACAUAUUGUAUAAACUACAAAAUUAUCUUACCUUAGAAAAGACAUAAUUGCAAGUAGACAAUUCUGGAUGUUUGCGGCACGUGCGUCAACGUGAAAAGAAGGAAGGGGGAAAUGGAGCGCAGCAAAGCUAGGGGUUCUUCUCGUGGUGGGGGUGGUGAGAUUCAGUGGGGACUGGAAGAAACAAUACAGAUGUGUCCUGUGCAGGAAAUAUAUAAUACAUGAGCAGUCAAAGUCUGUCUCCUCUAUCUGCAGUUACACCAGGUUAUGUUCAUAAGAUGAUGAGAUGAUGUGUGUGUUAAUGUGUAGUUGGACCAUACAUACACUAUACAGUACAUACAGAAGGAGCUGAAUCGCUUUAGGUUUCUGUUUAGUAGCAGAUCUGUUCAGUGUUUUCCAGUCUGAAAACACCCCUCGUUUAAUUGUUAUGAAAAGUGAUUUUUUUUAGCUCAGAUGAUGACGAAAUAAACAGCCUUUAAAGAAAUGUGUCA
ensembl:lncRNA